AUCUAUACGUCGACAAUUUGGACCGUUGAUAGCAAAGCUUUGGCUCGUAUUUCAAAUAUUUAGUCCAGGAAUGUUCAUAUCAAGUACAGCAUUGCUUCCAAGCUCUUUUUCCAUGUUCUUAACAAUUGCCUUUGUUUCUACAUGGUGGCAAAACAGUACAAAAUGGCAAUCUUGAGCAUAGUUAUUUCGACGUUUGUUGGUUGGCCGUUUGCAGCGCUCGUCAGUUUACCAUUUCUUUACAACGUGUUAGUUCAGAAACGGUUAUUCCGAAUGGUUUG